GAUGAACGCUGGCGGCGUGCCUAAUACAUGCAAGUCGAGCGAAUGGAUUAAGAGCUUGCUCUUAUGGAGUUAGCGGCGGACGGGUGAGUAACACGUGGGUAACCCGCCCAUAAGACUGGGAUAACUCCGGGAAACCGGGGCUAAUACCGGAUAACAUUUUGAACCGCAUGGUUCGAAAUUGAAAGGCGGCUUCGGCUGUCACUUAUGGAUGGACCCGCGUCGCAUUAGCUAGUUGGUGAGGUAACGGCUCACCAAGGCAACGAUGCGUAGCCGACCUGAGAGGGUGAUCGGCCACACUGGGACUGAGACACGGCCCAGACUCCUACGGGAGGCAGCAGUAGGGAAUCUUCCGCAAUGGACGAAAGUCUGACGGAGCAACGCCGCGUGAGUGAUGAAGGCUUUCGGGUCGUAAAACUCUGUUGUUAGGGAAGAACAAGUGCUAGUUGAAUAAGCUGGCACCUUGACGGUACCUAACCAGAAAGCCACGGCUAACUACGUGCCAGCCGCCCAGUAA
rnacentral:rRNA from 1 species